CCUCCUUUACGGCUCUUCACGACUCUCUCUGAUGACAAAGCAGCUGUUUGCCAUUUAAAGGUCGAAUGCCAGUAAUAGCGGGAUGGCAUUUUAUCAUCCGAAGAGCGCAAGCAGACGGGAGAUGAAAACUUGGAGGCUUGAGCCAAGUGCAAUCAAGUCCCUGGGUUGAGAAUCCGUGAAAAUAUGGAAUGUACCUUCAAUUAACCUCUCACAAAUACCUGGUCACCGGGACCGAUUCAUCUGAAGGUUGUUGCCUGGGCUAGCGAGCGUGUGCCUCCUGCCGAGAAGGAAGCAGCCUCUGAUCUUAUUCUCGCGUUCUUUCUGCUGUUGUAUUUACCUCCCUGGAUCAUUAACACGGGGCAGGAUUUGGCUUUGCAGAAAAAGGAGAGACCUUCCUUCCGCCGCGGAGGAAAUUCCAACCUACGCUACCCUGAUCUCGAUUACUCUUGGCACAGUGAUCCUGCAGUCGUUCGAGCCCAGCGUCUUGGCUAGAUACAGAACUGAAGCCUCAGAACAACGGCCUCCAAUCCCUUCACUUUGCAGAUUUCAGCUUGUGAACCUCCUCCAAAACCUGCAUCAAUGACAUUUAACAAGUACUUCCUUACUGUGGACCAGACAAUGCUGAAAGGAAGGAAAGAUGCAUGAGAUGACCCUUGAAGAGCUGCUGAGAAAGUUAUGGUGUCCGCCUAGUCAAUCGGAUCAAAGAAGCCAACAGCAUCUCUUUCCCUUUUUCAC
ensembl:lncRNA